ACUCAGAAUCAAUCCAUACAAGAAUGAAGAAAUUGUGAUCCCCAAAUCAGAAUCCAGAGGGGGAUUAUAGUUCUGUAAUCUGUAGCGUUUCAGCCAUUGUUGUCGGCGGUUUACUGGUUUUUCGUCGCCGUUAAAUGCGCGUCACUUUUCAGGCGGUGAGGUCUGUGUAACGGUAUACGGAACCCUAACCCCAAUCAACUCCACCUUCACUUCUUCAUCGGAGCUCCGCCACCGCUGCAUGCGAUGUCCUCCGCCGCUGCGGCGGUUGAUCCACCACACAACACCGUGGACCCUGCCUCCGAGUCCGAACAGGAGAUGGAGGAGGAGGAGGAGGAGUACGAGGAGAUAGAGGAAGAGAUAGAAGAAGAAAUAGAGGAAGAAAUAGAGGUUGAAGAGGAAGAAGAAGUGGAAGAAGUAGAAGAAGAGGAGGAGGAGGAGGAGGAGGAGGAGGAAGAUGUAGAAGAAGCGGGAGCUGAUAGUGAUCAAGAAUUAGCUCCAUCCAAUGGAGAAGAUAGCGGAAAGGGCACUGCCGAAGCAGGAAUUGCAGAAGCAGCAGCCAAAUUGUUCAAUGAACAUGAUCAUAAAAAACAAGACAUGGAGGAAGAAGACGCUGGAAAAGAGGGAGCUGAUAAUGCUGAGGAAUUAACUAAACUCAAUGAAGAAGAUCAUGCAGAAGAAGUGGAAGAAACAGCAGCUGCUGAAAUUGCUGAAGGAUUAAGUCAAUGCAACAAAGAAGUUCACGAAAAAGAAAAUAGACAAGUUCUGGAGCCUGCAAGGCUUGAAAAGCUUUUGGGGUCAGAUUCUGCUACUCCCCAAGAAUCGGUAGCACAUCCACCAUUGGAUGCCUCUGUAGUAAGGGACAGUGAUGACAAUAACGAAACUGCUAGCCCAAAUGAUACAAAUGAAGGGAAGAAGUCAAUGGUUGAUGGAAAUAAAACCCACAGAGGUGAUGCCAAUAUUUCUCUGCAUGGGGGUGGAGUUAUGCCUGAAAAGGCUUUUGGUUGUGAAAUCAAUGCUGCAAUGUUGGAUGUUGAUCCUUCCAGCAAUGGGAUUAUUGGUGUCCAAUAUUCCAAAGAUAUGGCAGAUCAGGAAGCAGCACAAGCUGUAGAAGAUAUGGAGAUAUCACCAAGGUCGGAUGUUCCUCAAUUAAGGCCAAGAAGUUUGUCACCCGGUGCUGAAUUCAAUGAUAAAAAUAAACGACCCGCAAUUAUAUGUGAUUUUUUUGCUAAAGGCUGGUGCAUCAAAGGAAGUUCCUGUAGGUUCCUUCAUGUAAGGGAUAAUGCUGCUAACAGUUCCAAGGAGGGCAGUGUAGAUGCUUCUAAGGGAAAGGGCAUACUUGCUGGGGAAGGUUUGAAAUAUACAACUGAAAUAUCAGCAAAGAACAUGCAUUCAGACCUGGGUCUUUCUAGGAUUGAACAUGAAGCAACACUAAGGUUGAAGAGUGGGAUUGAGGAAGUGCCUCUAGACAAAAACCUUUCUGUGUCUGAUACCUCUUUCAAGGAUAAUGACAUUGGGAGGGAAUAUCUUGAACAUAAACCAUACUUGGCCAACUACAACCACUCCUCAUCAAUGUUCAAAGACUAUUCUCAAACUUUUGGGAACAGCUCUUUUGGUAGAGGUUUGCCAUCUGAAAAUUGUAGAAAUGUUGGAUAUUCCUCUUAUUUCUCACAUUUAGAAGGAAUAGGAAGUAAAGGAAGCCAGUUUCUUCAUGAUGACCAUCCUUCAAAUUGCCCUGCAGAGAGGGUACCUUUAUAUCCAAGUGCUUCUUGGAAUGCAAGUCCCCUUGGCUUGCAGAAGCCUAUAGAAGGUGGUAAAGAACUUUCUGCUUCUGGAUCUGUUUCAUUCAAACACAAGUCUCCGCUGUUCACUGGUUCUGAAUCAACACUAAUUUCUCACCCUGAUUUAUCUGCACCUACACAUCAUUCGUCUCUGUAUAGGCCCAAGCUAUCCUUUGACAAUUGGGAGCCUUCUGUUCCAUUUCAACCAUCAUUCUUGAUUACUCAGCGUAUGCUGUCUGAGGCAAGUCAAUAUGAUCCUAUUCGAGACAGUAUUGAGCAGACAGUUGCUCAAGACAAGCCCUCACAGUUCCCUUUCUCUGGUCAAGGUGCAUCUGUCUCUGGCACACAUGUGUGUGAAAAUGCUGAUCCAGUAGUAACAGGAAACCUUGGCCCUGAACAGAGCUCUAAUAAACAUUCAGUUUCUAGUCACAGCUCUCACAAGGAUGCUGUUCCCAGAAACCUGUCAGAGAAAGAAAAAGAACUGAUGGAUACUGCAGGGGUUCAUCAGGAGAACAUUUAUUAUACUUCCUUGAAAGAAAAGCAGCUUCUGGAAUCUGCUGAUUUCGGAGAUACUACUGAAGCUGAUAAAACACACUUUAGUAAUGAUACUUUGCAGAAGAAUGGGGCACAGUGUAAGAUGGAACUGAAAGUAGAGAGAGUGGAAAGUGGAAAUGAUGUUGAUGGAUUAGUUCACCAGGACUCUAGAGCUUUAAAACAGUUUCGUUCUGCUCUUGUGGAAUUUAUCAAGGAACUAUUAAAACCAACUUGGCAGGAGGGUCUUUUGAGUCGUGAUGCUUACAAGGUGAUAGUUAAAAAAACAGCACAUAAGUUUAUUAGCACAAUGCAGCCUGAACAAAUUCCUGAUAAUUCUGAUUCAUCCAAAGAAUACCUCUCAUUUGUUCAGCCGAAACUUGAGAAGCUUGUUCUGGGUAAUGUAGAUAAGUAUGGCAGGUCAUGAUAUGCAUUGCAAGUGUGCAACCUAGAUACUAGGUAGUUUGGAGCUAUCCCAAUGGGAUACUAGGAGUUCUGCCAACUGGUUUUUGGGCAAAGCAUCUUAAUUUGCUUCCUUUGGCAACAAAGUGGAAUCACUGUGGACUUUCAUGCAGCUGUUUAUCUUUGCUAAUAUCAAUAAUAGGGAGUGAAGGUGAGAUGCCAAACUGGAUACAUCAUACAUGUGUAUCUAAAUGUUUCUCCCCUCUAACCCUCUUCAAAGUAAACACAGGUGGUAUUGAUUUAUUUUAUUUUAUUUUUCUCUUUGGCUGUUAUAUUUUAUUCUUUAUUGAUUUAUUUUAUUUUAUUUUUCUCUUUGGCUGUUAUAUUUUAUUCUUUCCUUCCUCUGUACUGUCUUACUCUAACACUCCCCAUACAUUCUUUUCCUUUCCUUUCUAUCUCUUCUUCUCAAACCUCAUCAGGCAUUCUUUUCUUUGGGAAGCACGGGGGAUAUAUCAUAUUGUUGGGCCUGUGAUAAUAAUAUGAAUAACCUUUUUGCAAUACUAAUUUAAAUAUUGUAUGGUUUUUGUUAUUGAGGUCUUUGUGUUGAGCAUUGCAUCCUUUUUAGUUGAAUGUCUUUGACAGUUAAAAGUAGUGCUCCGUGCUUUAAAUUCUUAGGCUCCAUUUAGAAUGCAGGUAUAGGAUGCGAAAGAGUCUUGAUUCUGAUAUCAAUAUCCUUCCCGCAUUUGUUAUGCCCAUUCUAUUGUAAUUGUGAUUCCUAACCAGACCACGUUCCUUUCUAUACCAUAACCCCCCCCAAACUUCAUGUAACAAACCAAAAAGUAGAUAGAUGAUCAGAGAAGCUACUCAAAGAGAGAGUGGAUAGAAUUUGAAUUAAAUUUCAUUUGUUUUCAGAAUUAUAUUCAGAAAAUGCAUGGAUGGGUAAUCUCUUUCAUUAAUGACUUAAGAUCUAUGGUUUGUUGAGUGUCAGAACUGAUAUCUAUAAUAAUAAUAUUGAUGAUGAUGAUGAUGACAAUGACACUAUGCUGCCAUUUUAUCAAUAGGAUUUUAGUGAUUUGUGUGUUGUAAUAUUAUUGUAUUUUCAUCAGAAAAUUCCUGAUAACUUUCAAUAUUCCUUGAAAAUAUCUGUAUUGAAUGAAGAUUUAUUAGCAAAAGUUUCUUUGACAUUGAUGCUCAAAGUUUCUAGCUUGAGUAAUCACCCUGCUGGUUAUUCUCUGGAGUUAUUUUUAGCUCAUCAUCUUCCUUUCCUUUUCUUUUUUUUUUUUUUCAUAAAGUUUAUUACAAGUUCUUAACAGACACUGUAUUUUUUUCUUUGCAACUACAAUUGCCAAGAUGCAGUAGUGCAGUACUAUCUAGCUGAAAGGAAGAAGACUGAUACAGGAUUGUAAAAACAUAGAGGGGACUAAAUGAGGUCCUGAACCAUUGAAUAAUGUAUUUAUGUUGUCUAACUUGGGUCGGAGCCAUUUCCUGUUGGUGUUCUAGUUAAUGGAUUUGAUCAAUGCCAUGUUACGGAUAAACUGGAGAUAACUUAAGCCUCUGAGUUUCUUUCGUCAAUGUGGUAUCUGUCCCUUUGCUGAUGCAGUUGGUUCACUUGCAUGACAUGUUCUGCAUGGUUUUGCAAAUGUCUGGAAAAUUUUCCGACCAAACCAUUGGCCUGAAGCACCAUGCUUCUUAUUUGGUAUGCGUUUGACUUGAUUGCAUGGUUGGGUGUUGACUCCUGUGUUGAGAUUAAACUCUUUCGUGUUUGAUCUUCUGCUAUUCUUUUGAGCUGGUGACAGUAUCUCCUUUAAACUGGUUUCCUCAAGCGCUUGAGGUUGAGAGCUUUUAGACAGAACAGAUUGUGACAAAACCCGACCCUUAUGAAACAAUACUUUAGCUGGUGCAUUGCUGUUCGGGUUUGCCUUGGUCGAGUCAUCUGUUGUUGAUGGGAAUUCAAAUUCCGGCUCCAUAUUCUGGACCCCCGUAGCCUUAUUAGUCAGAGCUAAUGGAAGAAACUGCUGAGUUUGAAGCUGCGCAUUCUGGUUCUGGAUACAUACGAGGUCUGCAAACGAGGGUGAGCCAUCUGCAGCAAAAUCUUGUGCAACACCUGACAGCCCCUUCUUUCCCAUACUGGUCAUAAUGGACACGGUGAAGCUCUCUCUAACGCUUCGGCCUCUUUAUAUACAGAACUCAGAACAGUCCCUCCCGGGGAACAAGGAAGAUAGGCACCUUAAAUUUGUUUUAUACAAUGAGGUUCUCUGAAGAAGAAUGCUGCAUUGUGAAGAUGUAGCGUAGUUUUCAAGAACGAGAGUGGAAGUCCAGCCAUAAGAGGUGGGUUUCUUUACUCUCUUGUUUUGGCAUAUCUUAAAUGUUGAUGUUGGAUGCAUCACUUCGUGACUUGCUGGUUUUGUGUUUUGUGAUGGCUUUUAAUGUUUUGUUUGGCCGUCCAUUCUAGGCUAGGGAGUAGGGACUGCAUUUCAUUUUAUUUUAUUUUUCUUCUUCCUUAAAUCCAUUUAAUAUAUGAGAAAAUCUAUAAUGUUCAUUACUAAAAUGAAAAAUACUAAUUGGAUUCUCAA